UCCCGACCUCAUUUUAAGGUUGGCAGUGAAGGUGAGGGGUAUUUUCCUGGAGAUUCCUGUGUACCUGAAGCCUUCUGAAGGUUGCAGCUCCUCCCUAUGUCUGCUGAUUUCUAAGGAUGCUAAAUAAUCAGAUGUGCAGGCUUCUUCCCAGAGAACUGUAGAUGCAGCAAUGUCCCUUUUUUGCACUUGUCAUGUUACUGCUCCUACACGCAUCUAAAUUCAGCUCCAUCAGCUCUCAAAUUUAACUUCAAUGUGAGCAGCUUGGCUUGUAAUGGCGUUAGCAAUGCAAGAAGAAAAUUCCACUUACAGUUGUGCCCAGCGCUAUGUAUUGCAUUGCCAGAGCACCCUCACCCAGCACACUCUCCCCUUCUAGCAGCUGUACUGCAUCCCUCCAUCCAGCAGGAGGGUCAACAUUGCUCCCAGUAAAGAAGAGUUUUAGUGAGCUGAAGCAACCAGUCCAGCCAACAGCAGAGAUGGAGUCAGGACUCCUGGAUCCGCUAUAUUUACCCACAAAGUAAUCUGUCAGCAUCAGACUUGGAGAGCUGGAUGAGCUGUUCAAAGAGCCCACUUUGACCUCGGAUGCCCAGAAGGCUCUUUUCACUCAGAGGCAUGAAGUUUUGGGUCCCGAUGACAAAUGCUGUGGACAGCCCAACCUGGAUGAAUGGGAAAGC